GGUAUGGGGUCAUUGUAGGGUCAUCAUAGCAUGGCUAUAGGGUCAUUGUGGGGUCAUCAUGGCACGGCUAUGGGGUCAUCAUAGGGUCAUCGGGGCACGGGUAUGGGGUCACUGUAGGGUCAUCAUGGCACGGGUAUGGGGUCACUGUAGGGUCAUCGGGGCACAGCCAUAGGGUCAUUGUAGGGUCAUCAUGACACGGCUAUGGGGUCAUCAUAGGGUCAUCGGGGCACGGGUAUGGGGUCACUGUAGGGUCAUCAUGGCACGGCUAUGGGGGCACUGUAGGGUCAUCGAGGCAUGGGUAUGGGGUCAUUGUAGGGUCAUCGGGGCAUGGGUAUGGGGUCAUUGUAGGGUCAUCAUGGCAUGGCUAUGGGGUCAUCAUAGGGUCAUCGGGGCACGGAUAUGGGGUCAUCUUAGGGUCAUCGGGGCACGGAUAUGGGGUCACUGUAGGGUCAUCGGGGCACGGAUAUGGGGUCAUCUUAGGGUCAUCGGGGCACGGAUAUGGGGUCACUGUAGGGUCAUCGGGGCAUGGGUAUGGGGUCAUUGUAGGGUCAUCGGGGCAUGGGUAUGGGGUCAUUGUAGGGUCAUCAUGGCACGGCUAUGGGGUCAUCAUAGGGUCAUCGGGGCACGGCUAUGGGGUCACUGUAGGGUCAUCGGGGCACGGAUAUGGGGUCAUUGUAGGGUCAUCGGGGCAUGGGUAUGGGGUCAUCGUAGGGUCAUCAUGACACAGCUAUGGGGUCAUUGUAGGGUCAUCAUGGCACGGCUAUGGGGUCAUUGUAGGGUCUUCGGGGCAUGGUAUGGGGUCAUUGUAGGGUCAUCGGGGCACAGAUAUGGGGCCAUCGUAGGGUCAUCAUGGCAUGGCUAUGGGGUCAUCAUAGGGUCAUCGGGGCACGGGUAUGGGGUCACUGUAGGGUCAUCGGGGCACAGGUAUGGGGUCAUUGUAGGGUCAUCUGGGCACGGGUAUGGGGUCACUGUAGGGUCAUCAUGGCAUGGCUAUAGGGUCAUUGUAGGGUCA
ensembl:lncRNA